CCUUGAAAGAUCGGGAAGUGCUUGCACUCUGUGAAAAACAAAGAUACAGGCUAGCGGCGGGACGGGGUGAAGUAAACACGUGGGGUAAACCUGCCCCAAAGAGAUCGGGGAUAACACCCUGGGAAACAGAUGCUAAAUACCCGGGGAUAACAACAGAUGAUGCCCUAUCAAACUGUUUAAAAAAGAUGGUUCUGCUAUCACUCUUGGGAUGGGACCCUGCGGUGCAUUAGCUAGUUGGUAGGGUAACGGCCUACCAAGGCGAUGAUGCAUAGCCGAGUUGAGAGACUGAUCGGCCACAUUGGGACUGAGACACGGCCCAAACUCCUACGGGAGGCAGCAGUAGGGAAUCUUCCACAAUGGACGCAAGUCUGAUGGAGCAACGCCGCGUGAGUGAAGAAGGGUUUCGGCUCGUAAAGCUCUGUUGUUGGUGAAGAAGGACAGGGGUAGUAACUGACCUUUGUUUGACGGUAAUCAAUUAGAAAGUCACGGCUAACUACGUGCCAGCAGCCGCGGUAAU
rnacentral:rRNA from 1 species